UCUCCUGCUCAGCUGAAAGUCCACUAAGCUGAUCUCAGACUGCUGCUCUCUUUCAGUGUGGAAGUUCAGGAAAAUGGCCAGCAUUUCAGAAGGUCAGGGCCAGUUCAGCUGCCCAGUCUGUCAGGAUCUCCUGAAGGAUCCAGUGACGGUUCUCUGUGGACACAGUUUCUGUACAGUGUGUAUUGAUGGCUGCUGGGAUCGGGAGGAUCAGAGGGGGGUCUACAGCUGCCCCCAGUGCAGGGAGACCUUCACUCCGAGGCCUGUUCUACACAGGAACAAAGUUAUGGCCGAAAUGUUGGAGAAACUAAAGAAGACUGAAGUCCGAGCAGCUUCUCCUGCGUUCACAGCCCACAAGCUGGUCAAGACCUCCACAUAUCUGCAAGAGAGGAUCUGCUCUCAACAUGGCAAACUGACCGAGAUCUACUGUCACACUGACCAGAGUGUCAUGUGUUAUCUGUGUACGAUGGAUGAACAUAAAGUUCAUGACACAGUCUCAGCCGCAGCAGGAAGAACCCAAAACAGUAACAACGGCCUGGCAGUUUGCAUCAGCCAAAUGACCGCUUCUGGUCAAACUAGGCACUUCUUGGCCACUCUGAGCCAUGAAACCCACCAGACUCUCUGGCUCACAACACUAUUUCAGCUUUAAACAGACCUGCAUCUUUACCCAGCUGUUGUCCUAACAGAGCUCCGCACAGGCAGCAGUGGAGGACAGUGAGAGGAUCUUCACUGAUCUGAUCCACAUCAUCGAGAAGAUGCGCUCAGAGAUAACAGAGCUGAUCCGAGUUCAGGAGAAUGUCGAACUGGGUCAAGCUGAAGGACUCCUGGACAAACUGGAGCAGGAGAUUGAUGAUCUGAAGAGAAGACAGACUGAGCUGGAACAGCUUUCACACACAGAGGAUGACAUCCAUUUCCUCCAGAGUUUCCAGUCUCUCUGUGUAUCUUCUGGAUCUGAGGACUCACCCGUCACCACUGUCAGUCAGCAUCUCUCAUCUGAAGAACUGAGGAAGCAUCUCUCUGAUUUGAAAGAGUGACUAGAGGAAUUCUGCGAAGAGGAAUUCAGCAAAAUUCCCUCACCUGUUGCAGCAGAGGAGCUGAUUUUACCCUCAGAGCCAAAAACCAGAGAAGACUUUCUGAGGUGUAUGUGGACCACACACACAAACACACACACGGUUUUAUAGUUGUAUCAAACGACUAGCUAACUUUUUUUUAGAUCUUCGUGGCCAUUAAACCUUUGGUAAACGCUGUACAGACAAAUAUCAUGAGGUAAUAUUAAAGCGACCAUUAACACAGCAAAUAACGUAAUUGACAUUAGCCAGGUUGUGGGUUAGCAACCUGUAGCUACAGUCGCUGCUGUGAAGCUAACCAGUUGCUAUCACAAAUAUUAGCAAACUGGACAAGACAAUACUGACCUGCUGGUUGUGUGAAACAGAAAAAGUAAGUUAAUGUUACCAACCUGUCCAGCAGAAACAGAGCAACAUCCUCAUUCCACUUCAUGCCUUUCAACUCUCUCUCAGCUUCUUUUUCGCCAGCUUCUUGUUCGAAUUUUCUCGUUCCACCUUAAAUGGUACAGCAGUUACAUUCAAGCGCCUCAGAGCUGCACAUUUUAAGGUGGAACAUGAAAACGCAAAUACAAAGCCUAGUCAACGUCAGGGAACAUUUGGUGAAGGAAUAUUUAGAAGGCCUGAACGUUUCCUACUGUGCUCCGCCAUCUUGCAUGGACAAUGCUGUGUGGGUGGUCACUGUCUGUCUCCUAGGGAGGGCAAAACAAAAUGAGGGAAAAGACCUAUGUUUUCACAGGACUAACAUGUACAUGUAGCCGGACCGGCUAUCGAAACAAAAACAGAGUAGCUCGGAUUCCAACACCCACAGAGGAGAUGUGACUUCAUUCUCUGCUCAGGACGCUACACCUCUGUCUUUACAUAGAACAGGGUGCACAACUCCAGUCCUGGAGGGCUGGUGUCCAGCACACUUUAGUGAUUUACCUGCUCCAACACACCUGAUUACACUUACCUGUUAAUUGUCAGGUUAAGUGGGUGUGUUUGAGCUGGGAAACCGUUGUGCACCCCUGACAUAGAAAAUAGUUGUUUGCUGCUGUAUUGAUGUUUAGAAUGUCUUAUAUAUAACCUUAAGUGCUGUUUAUGGAAGCCUACCAGGUCUUCCGGGUGGUUGUUAGGAGCCCCAUUUCCUUUGUAGCUUACUCCUGUUUUUCCUUUGACUUUCCCUAAGCUUGUACUUAAUGGCCAUUUUGACUGGACCUCAAAUAACCGAAGUCUCUUAACUUGUACACAGUAAAAUUCUUUCUUUUCAUUGUUUCUUUAUUUUCAUUUCAAAGAUCACCAUAAACUCUGGAUCCCAACACAGUAAAUCAUGAGCUCUGUCUAUAUGAGAAGAACAGAGUGGUGAGGUGGAGAGGGAUAGUCCAGCGACAACCUGAUCAUCCAGACAGAUUUGACUUCAAGCCUCAGGUGCUGUGUAAGGAGGGGGUGUGUGGACGGUGUUACUGGGAGGUCGAGUGGAACACUGAAGAGUAUGAAUGUGUGUCCAUAUCAGUCUCAUAUAAAGGGAUCUGGAGUGUCAUUCAGCACACUAUUUCUGGCACUACAAUAAUGGGAAAGAGCUCCCAGGGCCUUCGUCCUCCAGAAUAGGGGUCUACGUGGAUCACAGUGCAGGAACUCUGUCCUUCUACAGAGUCUCUGACACAACGACCCUCCUGCACACAGUCCACACCACAUUCACUCAUCCACUCUAUGCUGGGUUUGGGAUCAGCAGUACGGAUAUGUUUCAUAAUGAUGGGGGUUAUGUGACGUUAUGUAAGCUAAAAUGAUACGUUUGUUGUGUUAGACACCAAUAGAAACAGAAAUAGAUGGAAUAGAUAGCAGAAUAUGAAAAUUUUAUGUAUUGGUUAUUAAAUUUGAAGCAUUGUCUCUGUA